UGUGCUUUAAAGUUAAUUUAUUAAAUUUUUGUUGUACAUAAAAGAACAUUAAGUAUUAGACUUGCAAAGCACUUGCAUUUCUUAUCUGACAUCUUUUAGGACAAUUUGAUUCAUUGUAAAUCCACAUAUAUGUCAUUUUAAAAUCAAAGAUAAUAUUAAACAAUUUCAGAAAAUUGUUUUAAUAAUAUACAGCACUCCUCCUUCUAAAAAUAUUUUAAAACAUAAGUAUUGACAAAUUAUAACCUAUUUUAAAUUGUGUAGAGUUUUUCAUGUAUUAAAUUUAUUUUACUCUAGCAAGUAGUAUAAACAAAAUAAACAUUUAAGCCAAAAAGUUCAAACAUCAAUGAUCACUGAUUUAGAUAAACAAAUGAAGUAGAGUAAUAAUUACUUUAGAUAAAUACUAAAGAGUUUUAUGUGAUCAUUCAUUAUAAUUUAAAAUAGUGCUACAGAGAAUGUCAUCUUGGCUUGCUAACUUUUUCUGAAUUCAAUAUGUUAAUAUGAGUAUCUAAUUAUGCAAUACAAGUAAACAAUAGUUUGCAAGAUUGGCAAAUUUAAUAGGUUAAAAAAUGCACAUUCUAAGGGCAUGUAAUUCCUGUUCACAUAAUUAUUGCCAUUCUUUUAUACUAGGAUCAAACACUAGAUAAAUGUUGUGCUUUGGUCUUUGAACAGUUUUAAACUUCUACUGUUAAGUUAGAAGUCACUUGCAGAAAAUUACCCAAAUUAUUUUUAUGAUAAAAUAAGCAUUAAAAAUGUAGAUUUUCAGUAUGGAAGCUCCUUUGCCUUAGACUUGUGACCCAAAACUUAAUUAUAAAAUGGAGAUGAAGUAAGGAAGUAUGCCAGGAAAGCCAAAACAAGGCAGAUAAAAGUUUUCUUCUAGGUUGCUUAUAAGCAUGCCUGAUUUAGUGAUAGGUAGCUUUUUCUUAACCACUUCAGGGCUUUAGUUUCUGCUGAGUGUUUCAUUACGUUGGUCAUUGAUAUAAAACAAUAUUUUGGGUAUUAAUUAUUUAUUUCUUUUAAUUCAAAACUUAGGUGAAGCUAUAAAAAUGAAAAGAUGGGGGCGGGCACGGUGGCUCAUGUCUGCAACCCCAGCACUUAGGGAGUCCGAGGCGGGUGGAUCACCUGAGGUCUGGAGUUCGAGACCAGCCUGAUCAACAUGGUGAAACCUCGUCUCCACUAAAAAUACAAAAGUUGGUCAGGCAUAGUGGUGGGUGCCUGUAGUCCCAGCUACUCGGAGGGCUGAGACAAGGGAAUUGCUUGAACCCAGGAAGUGGAGGUUGCAGUGAGCUGAGAUCAUGCCACUGGACUCCAGCCUGGGCGACAGAGCAAGACUCCAUCUAAAAAAAAAAAAGGAUGGGAUUUUACAAUAUAUAAUACAGUUUUUAAAAAUUCUAAGCCUCAAUGACUAUAUUUGGUUUUAAUUAUCAUAUUAUCAAAAUACCUGUUGUAUAUAUUUUUAUUGUGUAUAAUUAUACAUAGUGAUUUCUCAUUACAGACCAUUACUUUGGAAUGACUGAUGGAAGGCUAGUUAGAACUAGUGAUAAAUCAGAAUUUUAAAAUAGUUUUAAAGAGAUGAAUUUAUCACUUACAACUGCAUUUAUAAUAAAUUAGUUGCCUACGUAUUGUUUUCCCUAACAAAUAGUAUGUUCUUGAAGGGGAAGGGGAAUCCAGUGUCUAGCAUCAAUCAUAUCUAGAACAGAGAAAAUGCUCAAUGAAUGUUUGGUUGAAUAAAUGAACAAUGAAUUAACAAAUGACUAUAAAAAACGAUUCCCUUGAACAAUACACAAGAGCAAUUUUUUAAAGGCACAACACUGUUGAAGUAUCUUCAUUAAACUUUGCAUUGGUAUAUUGCAUUAUACCAUAAAUCCAUACACGUUACUGUGUUUAAUCGUUACAAUGAACUCUGAUGUCAAAGGGCCUUAUUAUUUUAUUUUUCAAAUGAGGACGUUGAAGCUCUGAGACGGAAAUUGUUUAAUAAUAAGCCAGUUAUGUCACAGCCAGAAUCUGCAUCUUUUAACUGAUUUGUCCAGGACAUGUUUUUCUAUUUGUAAAUACUAUUUAGUUACUGGAUUUAAGACUGUCACAAGAUUCUCAAUGUUUUGUUUUGGUUCUACUAUUCAUUCCUUUUAUGUCAUCUUUUCUCAACCAUUUCAUUUAUCCUUACUUUCCAUUUCUAAAUUCCUGUACACAUUUCCAGUUAUAAAAUAAGCCGAAAUUGGAAUGGAAUAAUUUCCUGUGUUCUCUGUGCCUUAACAUCACAAAAGUGUACCACUAAGUUGAAUUUAAAGCUAUGGAACUUCCACUUUAGGCAACAUGGCGAACUAGACGUCCAAGUACGAAAAGGACAGAGUAUGCUUUGUGGUGGACUAAAGGCUAGGGCCCAGGGUGUGUGUGUGUGUGUGUGUGUGUGUGUGUGUGUGUGUGUGUGUGUGUGUGUGUAAUCCAAGGCCUUUGCAUAAAGCCAAGAACUUGCAAAGACAACAUACUCAAUAGGUGAACUAGAAAGAAACUGUGCUCCACAGAGCAAAACUGUCAGUAUAUUUGCCUAUCUCAGUCUUAGCUCCGGGUAAAAAUAAACAAAAAAAUGAACCCCCAAAUGUGUCCCCUGUCUAUUCCUAAUAAAAUGGUUGCAUUCUACCUGAUUUAGGGCUAGAAACCACAAUACCUAUGUAGCGUUCCCUCCCCACUCCCAGAUAAUCAAGCUGAAAUUUUAAGGUGAUCUGAGUUUGGUAGUAGUAUCAGCAGUCUGAAAAAUGCAAAUACAAAUUCUCUCUUGAGGAAUGAACUUUAAAUCUAGGUCUAAAGAUUUUUCAGAGAUAAAAAUCCAAGGAACAUGGGCUCAGUAAACAAGCCAUUCCUGGUAACAGUGACAGCAAAACACAUAAACUACAGAAUUAGAUCCACAAAACACCAAUGAUUUGGAAAUAUCAGAUACAGAAUCUAAAAUGUUUGCUUCAUACAGUUGAAGAAAUGAAAAAGGAUGUUGAGUUUAUAAUAAAGGUACAAGAUAUUAUAAAAAAUAAGCAGCAUAUAUGAAGAACAAAAGGGAAUCGUAAAACUGAAAAAUGUAAUGAUUGAACUUAGCAAACUCAGUGGAAUGGAAAACCUGAAGGUUAACAAGCUGGAGACUGACACUCUGACUCAAAAUCAACCUUGGAGACCCUACAGAAUGGAGAGGAUUGGAUGGAUCUGAGGAUGGGACAUAACAAAUUUAGAACAUCUUAGGAAGAAUUAAAGUUAUCAUGGACUAAAUGUGUGUAUGUGGGGGGUGGGUGGUGGGGCUUGGGGACAAGGCAUUUAGCAGCCCUGGGCUGAGAUGGUUAGGCACAGUAGUGUGAGGAUAGGUGAUGGAAAAGCUUUUAAGUUCUGCUUUGGCCUCUGUCCCACAAUAACUGUCCUGCUGACAGUGUCCAUCACUGGGUAACUAGAUCAUUAAAACAUAAUGUGUGCACAUUAUGGAUUGCUGUGCAGCAGUUAGAAGCAAUAGAUUAAAUAUAGUAGUAUACUAUGUAUAUACUACAGAAAUAUGAAUAUAUCUUUAAAAUCACAGAGCUUCAUAAGAAAAUUAGGAAGAAUAUAACUUACAGAAAAUAGGUACUCAAGAUAAUAUAUGUUACAUGAAAACAUAUACAUACCAAGAUAUGCAUCAAACACAUUAGAAUAUUUGCCUAUGAUAUUAGGAAGGGGUAUGAAAGUGGGUAUUAGGGACAAAACAGAAUAAGUAAAUAAAGCCAGAGGGACCUUAUUAGAACCAAUUAUAAUUGUGUAUCAUGAACUAAAGAGUGUAAGGAGAGUGAUCACUCAACUCGAUGAACCUAGAGUUAAAACAAAAAGAAGGAAAAAACAAACUCAGUGGAUGAGUUGGAGAGAUUAGAUAUACUGUUCAAAGAAGAAACUGGAAGAGACAUCUAAAGAAAUUACAUGGAGUGUAAGUUAGAGAUACAAAGUGUGGUGAGAAAAGAUCAAAGGAUGUAUGUAGAGUGAGAGGAUCUAAUGUAGAGUGUGAGAACAGUAAUAUUCACAGAGAGAAUGGCUGAGAAGAUUCCAUACUUGAUGGGAGACACCUGUGCUCAGAUUCAAGAAGCAGCAGGACAUGCAAGCAUGAGAAACAGAAAGAAACUAAGAACAUCAAAGACAAAGAGGACACGUUAAAGUAGUCAGAGAGAAGAGACAGACUACCUAUUGAGUAAUUAAACUCACUAACGGCUAUCCGCCCAAUAACAACAAUGGAUACCUUAAGAACGGGCAAUAUCUUCAAAGUGCUGUGAGGAAAUAACUGUCAAUCUAGAUUUGUGCAUCCAGCAAAACCAUCUUUCAAGAAGGAGAGUAAAAAUAAAGACACCCUAAAUCAAGCAAAAAUAGAAUUUGCACCAGCAGACCUUCACUGAAGGAACAUUCAGAACAUGUACUUCAGGAAGGAUAAAAUAAAUGCUAGACUGUCUUAUUUACUUACUAAGAAUGUAAAUAUUUUGUAAUGUUAUUUUUAAAGUCAGUUUCCUUUUCUCAAAACAGUAGCAGAUUUCUGAAAUAUUAGAAGUUCCAAUUAACGAAGCAUGAAUUAACUGGACUUUAUUACCUGCCUUGCCUGCUUAUAUAUUGCAUCAUCAUUUAUAUCAGAUGCCAAUCAUGUGGUACUCUGAUAUUAGAAUCUUUGAAUCACUGGGCUUGGUGAGACAUCAAAACCAAAUACUAUAUCUAGCUUCUCAGUUUAUAUAUAUGAAAGCAUUUAGGAAAGGGUUAAUUGCAAUAUUUGCAUAACCUGUAUAGUUUAUACUAAAGCCAAAUGAUAUAAUCAAUGCUGUAAUUAUUUCAACAUUUGCUCCCAUAAUAAACCUAAUACUAAUGUCUAGGGCAAUUUCUGAAUAUAUAAUAGGUUCUGUGUUUUCUUAUACAUUAAAUCUUAUCAGUAUCUAACUUGAACAUGAAAGGUCUUAUGUAACCAGAAAUUUUGUUCUAUUGAGCCAUAGUAUACAAAGUAAUAAGGAACAUUUAUGCAUGAUUAAAUAUUGAAGUGAAGUUGAAGCAUUCAAUCUACUGUGAAACUCAUUUAAUGCACACAUACCCUGGAAAUAUAGGUAUUAUUAAUAUUAUACUUGAAGGGAACAUUUUCAUCCAGUGUAACUCAUGGAAAUUCAAUUUCCUUCUUCUGUGAGAAUUUGGAAUUUGU
rnacentral:lncRNA from 10 species